UCUUACCCUACGUCGGGGAAAUUAAGGUCCCUUUGGCCAUGUUACAUUUGAGAUGACUGUAAAGACUGCAUCGAAGUGGAGACAUCAUGUUGUAUAUAUGAAAACAUUUACUUCAGACUGUUUACUACUGUUCGAUUCUAUUUUUCCUUUGAUUUUCUCUUCUCAGUCAUAAGUGGAAAUGGAAGGGAUUCAUUCAAAGGUAAAAUUCUGAGAUUUUGGAGGAAGAAGUUGGCCCAUAGAAGAAUCAUCCAGUUAGAACCCCAAGAUCAUUAUUUGGGGCAUCUAAUUAUUAAUGUGGGAUGCUUUAUAAAGUGUGUAUGGGGGUCUUGAAAGAUAAAGCCUGUGCCUCUCUCAGUGAAUUCUUAAAUUUUCCCUUCCUUCUGCAUUUUGAAUUUGAACCAAGAAAAUGGAACAACAUUGUAUGUUUCCAGUGAAGAUAAAAACAUCUGUUGAAUAUCUUGAGUCUAGAAAAUAACAUUGAAAAUAUAGUGGUUGAGGACCAAUUCCUCAUCCUGAAGUUUACAAUGUAAUGAAAAAAAGGAAAUGUAUAAUUUUAAUAAAAAUGCAUGCAUUGAAAUGUGGUGAGUAUGAACAUGUGCAGAUAAAAUUUAAAAUAAUAUUUAUGAGAAUGUACUAGUUUAUUGUAAUAAAGAAUGACUCAAUACAUGCCUACUAACUGUAGGCUCAGAGGAUAUUAGACUAAAUGAAAUUAGUCUACUGAUGUUUUCAUUGUUGAAUUUGUGAGCAUUCUACUAUUCCUUGAACAGGGUAGUUAAGCUCCAGCCAUAGAUUAUUUUCCCUGGCUCCUCCCUCUACCUAGAACACUCUUCUAACCAUGAUUCCCAGGGCUUAAGUACCUCACCUCCUUCAAGCCGUUGCACAAUUGUCAUUUUUUCUUUGAGUGCUAUUCUGACCAAUUAAUUUAAAAUCACAGUCUGCCCUUCCAGCCCUCCCAGAACCUCUUAGCUUGCUCUUUCUCUUCAGUUUGUUAUGUUUUUUCUUUAUUUUGUGUCUCCUGAUGCUGGACUACAAAAGAGCAAGGAUUUUCU
rnacentral:lncRNA from 1 species